rnacentral:rRNA from 1 species
AGUGAACGCUGGCGGUAGGCCUAACACAUGCCAGUCGAACGGCAGCACAGUAAGAGCUUGCUCUUACGGGUGGCGAGUGGCGGACGGGUGAGGAAUACAUCGGAAUCUACUUUUUCGUGGGGGAUAACGUAGGGAAACUUACGCUAAUACCGCAUACGACCUACGGGUGAAAGCAGGGGAUCUUCGGACCUUGCGCGAUUGAAUGAGCCGAUGUCGGAUUAGCUAGUUGGCGGGGUAAAGGCCCACCAAGGCGACGAUCCGUAGCUGGUCUGAGAGGAUGAUCAGCCACACUGGAACUGAGACACGGUCCAGACUCCUACGGGAGGCAGCAGUGGGGAAUAUUGGACAAUGGGCGCAAGCCUGAUCCAGCCAUACCGCGUGGGUGAAGAAGGCCUUCGGGUUGUAAAGCCCCUUUGUUGGGAAAGAAAAGCAGCAGGUUAAUACCCCGCUGUUCUGACGGUACCCAAAGAAUAGGCACCGGCUAACUUCGUG